CAACUGCUCCUCCCGUUCGAAAAUAUUUGUCGAAAAAAUGAAUAUAUCUAGAUGUAUUUUAGUUCUAGAUACAUUCAUUUUUAUUCAUUUCUGCAACAAGUAAUUCUCGGCGUAAGGAGUACUUG
rnacentral:pre_miRNA from 1 species